rnacentral:rRNA from 1 species
UAUACAGCGAAACUGCGAAUGGCUCAUUAUAUAAGUUAUCGUUUAUUUGAUAGUGCCUUACUACUUGGAUAACCGUGGUAAUUCUAGAGCUAAUACAUGCUAAAAACCCCGACUUCGGAAGGGGUGUAUUUAUUAGAUACAAAACCAAUGCCCUUCGGGGCUCUUUGGUGAUUCAUGAUAACUAUACGAAUCGCACGGCCUUGCGCCGGCGAUGGUUCAUUCAAAUUUCUUCCCUAUCAACUUUCGAUGUUUGGGUAUUGGCCAAACAUGGUUGCAACGGGUAACGGAGGGUUAGGGCUCGACCCCGGAGAAGGAGCCUGAGAAACGGCUACUACAUCCAAGGAAGGCAGCAGGCGCGCAAAUUACCCAAUCCCGACUCGGGGAGGUAGUGACAAUAAAUACUGAUACAGGGCCCUUUCGAGCCUUGUAAUUGGAAUGAGUACAAUUUAAAUCCCUUAACGAGGAACAAUUGGAGGGCAAGUCUGGUGCCAGCAGCCGCGGUAAUUCCAGCUCCAAUAGCGUAUAU